GCAGUACAUGGGUUCACAAAAGAAUUGGAUACAACUUAGUGACUAAACAACAAAAACAAAAUAUUCUUGUACAAGAAAUUCUCAGAGUGGUGACCUGCUAUUCUAGGUCAGGUCCCAGAAGCAGAGCCUGACACCUGGAUUCUGGUGGAGAUAAUUUACUUCAGGUGCUCUCAGGUGAAACCUAUAAGGGACAGAGGCAGCAGAGUAAGAAUGAGGUCUUAGGUCAAGUCUUGGAUUAUCCUUGAGACAAGGGGGCUGCCUUCUGUACCCCGUAUCAGUCAUCAGUUGGGCUGACCCCUCGGAGUGUGGGGGUAUAACUUCUUGGAUGAGAUGGCACCAAUCAGCUGAGGACAAGUCUCUUGAGAGGAAGCAGCUGUGAGCCAUCAACCCCCGAUACCAACAGCAGAUGUGGAAAGACUUCCUUGACCUGACCGCCAGGUUCCUGUGUCGGUGAGAUCCUCCAGGCAAGAAUACUUCUCCAGGGGAUCUUCCUAACCCAGGGAUCGAAUCUGGGUCUUUGUGAUAUGAAGGGAAUUGUAAGAUCUAAGUCCUGUUCUUCAGGAGAAGGCAAUGGCACCCCACUUCAGUACUCUUGCCUGGAGAAUCCCAUGGACGGAGGAACCUGGUCUUUGUUCCAUCCUAUAGGGGAGCAGUGGCAGUCAACACCAAUGUGUGGCAUGGGAUGAAUCUCUAACAGAAACCUCUGUGACUCUGCUUUGAGAAGUCUCUGCAAAGUUUGAAAUAUGCCAAAGAAAAAUGCCAGUGCUCCGCACUAUAAGAAUUACCAACUUUUAAUGAGUCCACUGAAGCAGAUAAUCAAUGAGGCUUCUAAAAGGCAGUUUUCUCCUCCAGGUCUUAGCAUCAUUACAAGCUCCUGAAGGAUGGAAGUUGUUCUGAAAGACUUAAAAAGGAUGAUAUGUACACAUACUCCUUUUAAAAAGCUGUUUUUCUAUGUUUUUAAAAAAUAAAGUUCAAAAA
ensembl:lncRNA